ACCAAUGUAAAUAUAACCAAUAUAUUGUUCUGUGAUAUAACCGAGCUAGCCUGUUAGAAAAGGAUAACAGAUAAGAAUGGUGUUGCUAUCUUUUUCUAUCAUAUGUUUAAUGUUAUGAUUUCUCAACGUUAAAUAUAAUAAUAUUCGUUUGAUUUCAAAUUUUUUAAAUUUUAGCUUAAUUAAAAGAAAUACGACCAAAAGUAAUUCAAAAUGGUACAUUUAUGUAGUGCUUUCAAUUGUACCAGCUCUAGUGAUAUUAGGAAAGAUCUAUCAUUUCAUAAGUUAGUAAUAUUCUCCCUUAAAGAUAAGGAAAAUCUGCAAAAAUAGGUACAUGCUGUCAGAAGAAAGGAUUUUAAACCUACAUCUAGCUCUACAUUAUGUAGCUUACAUUUUAAAAAAACUUAUUUUUUUUAGCCAUUGUAAGUGGGAAACAAAUGUUAAAAAAAAUUGUUGUACCAACUAUAUUUGAUUUUCCAAAUCAUUUAUUGCCAAAAAAUAAAGAAAGAAGAAUUCUGCUACGAGAAGACACAACCACAAUAACAGCCAUUCAUAAUAGUAAUAAUACAGCUACUUGUGAAACAGGGACUAAGUUUGUUAACAUUGGUGUACAGACUAAAUUAACUGGUGAAGAAUUAGAAAAAAGUGAGUA